CGAUGGUGCCAAAGGUGACACAAAACUUGCAUGUCACAAGGAAAUGUGCUUAGGCAUGCGGGUGUCGAUGGCGACACAAAGCUUGCAUGUCGCAAGGCGAUGGGCCUAAGCACUAGGGUGCCAAAGAUGACACAAGCUUGCAUGUUUGCAAGGCGAUGUACUUAGGCACGGGGGUGCCUAAUGUGACACAAAGCUUGUAUGUCACAAAG
rnacentral:lncRNA from 1 species